ACAACAUUGCCUGGUUGGAGUGCUGCCAGGAUCACUCAGAGAAGCACCUGGAAGCAGGAAGAGGAAGUGAUGAGCAACCCUGCAGAGUCCUCCUGCUAUGAUUAUGGACUGCAAAUCCCAGAGAACUUGGGAGCAGCAGGAAGAGGAAGUGAAUACACAUACCAUGCUGGCUACAUACCAGAGAGCCACAGUCUAAUGUCCCUCUCCCCCUGGCUUGUGGCUUGACCCACUGCAGUUCCAAAUAUUUUGUAAUCAAGACAAGCCUAAGGCUAAAUAUGAAGAAUAAACUGCCACCAAGAAAAAGCGAUGAGUGGUGGUGGUUGGAGACUCCCUUUUGAGGAGGAUAGAGGUAUCCAUCUGCCCACCUGACCUGUUGCCUUGGAAGGUCUGCUGCUUGCCCAGAACUUGGAUCUGAAAGUCAUGGAAGGAUUACUGAAACUCAUUCAGCCCUCUGACUACUACCCCAGGCUGCUCAUCAAUGUGGGUGCCAACGAUACUGCCAGAGAAGAUCCUGCACAAAUCAGAAGUGACUACAGGUCUCUGGGUGCAACAGUAAAGGGGACAAGGGCUCAGGUGGUAUUCUCCUCAAUCUUUCCAGUCAAGGGGAAGUGUGUGGGCAGGAGUAGGCACAUCUUGUAGAUCAACACAUGGCAGUGAUGGUAUCACCAGCAGGGCUUCAGUUUCUUUGACCAUGGGAUGUUGUUCCAAGAAAAAAGGUUUCUGGGAAGAAAUGGGAUCCAUUUGAUGAUGAGAGGGAAGAUCAUCUUUACAGACAAGCUCCCUAAUGCAGUGAGGAGGGCUUUAAACUAGAUUCACAGGGGGAUGGAGAUCUAAGCCCUGAGAUAAGUGGGGAAGUAUGUGACCUGGAGAAAGCACAAGGAGUAGUGGGCAGAAGGGGAGACACACUCAUACUUCCAGAGAAAGAAGCACAAUUGGCUAGUUACCCAAGUGCCUGUGUUCAAAUGCACAUAGCCUGGAAAACAAGCAGGAAGAAGUGGAAAUCUUCUCACAGUUGUGGAACUGUGACAUGAUUGGAAUAACUGAGACUUGGUGGGAUAGCUUGCAUAACUGGAGCACUGUCAUGGAUGGGUAUAAACUAGUCAGGAAAGACAGGCAGGGGAGAAGAGGGAGAGUUGCACUUUAUGUAAAAGAACCGUAUGAUUGCUCAGAGGUCCAGUAUGAAAUUGGACAUAGGGUCAGGAGGGAGAGCAACCAGGGUGAUGUCAUGGUAGGUGUCUGCUAUAGACCACCAGACCAGGAGGAUGUGGUGGAUAAGGCUUUCUUCAAACAACUAGUGGAAGUUUCCUGAUCACAAGCCCUGACUUUCAUGGGGCUCUUCAAUCAUCCUGGCAUCUGCUGGGAGAGCAAUGCAAAGGUGAUCCAGGAAGUUUUUGGGAAGUGUUGGGGACAACUUCCUGGUUCAAGUACUGGAGAGGUCAACUAGGGGCCAUACUCGUUUUGACCUGCUGCUCAUAAAUAGGGAAGAAUUGGUGGAGAACAUAGUAGAUAACAACUUGGGAAGCAGUGACCAGGAGACAAUUGAGUUCAGGAUGAGGAGGAAACAAAGGAAGGAGAGCAGCAGAGUAUAGGCCCUACACUUCAGAAAAGCAGACUUUGACACACUCAGAGAACUCAUAAGCAUAGUCUCCUAGGAGGCCAGUCUGAGGGGGAAUGGCGUCCAGGAGAGUUGGCUGUGCUGAGAGAGCAGGAAAAAAACCCAUCCCGAUGCGCAGGAAGACUAACAAGUAUGGCAGAAGACAAGCUUGGCUUACCAGGGAACUCUUCAUUAAGCUAAAACAUUAAAUGAAGAAACUUAUAAGGAAUGGAAACACAGCUAGGGAGGAGUAUAAGAGUAUUGCUUAGGUAUGAAAAGUAGGAAGGCCAAAGUACAAUUGGAGUUGCAGAUAGCAAGGAUGCGGAGGGUAACUAGAAAGGUUUCUACAACUAUGUCAGCAACAAGAGGAGGAUCCGGGAAAGUGUGGAUCCUUAAGUAAAUGGGAGAGGAAACCUUGUGACAGAAGAUGCAGAAAAUGCUGAAGUACUCAAUGUCUUUUUCACCUCAAUCUUUACAGGCACCUGGCAGUACGGUUUGUGGAGGAGAUGAGCAGCCAACAGUGGUAAAAGAACAGGUUAGGAACUAUAUAGAAAAUCUGGAGGUGUACAAGUCCAUGGGGCUGGACAAAAUACACCCAAGGGUGUUGGCCCAUGUGAUUGCAGAGCCACUGGCCAUUAUCUUUGAAAACUGUGGAAGUUAGGAGAGGUCCUGGAUGACUGGAAAGGGCAAAUAUAAUCCCCAUCUUUUUAAAAGGGAAGGAGGAUUCAGGGAAUGACAGACCCGUCAGCCUCACCUCAGUCCCUGGAAAAAUCAGAGAGCAGCUCCUCAAGAAAUCCAUUUCUAAGCACUUGGAGGAGAAUAAGGUGAUUAGGAACAGUCAGCGUGGAUGGCAAGUCAUGUCUGAACAAGCUGAUUGCUUUCUAUGAUGAGAUGAGUGGUUCUACAGAUGCAGGAAGACCAACAGAUGUGAUAUACCUCGACUCUGCCGAGGCUUUUGAUACAAUCUCCCACAACGUUCUUAUAAGCAAGCUAAGAAAGUACGGGGUGGAUGAAUGGACUGUAAGGUUGAUGGAAAACUGUCUGGAUUAAUGGAGUGCCCCAAGGGUUGGUUCUGGGGCUGGUUUUGUUCAAUAUUUUCAUCAGUGACCUGGAAGAUGGGAUAGAGUGCGCCCUCAGCAAGUUUCCAGAUGACACCAAGCUGCAGGGAGUAGUAGACAUGCUGGAGGGUAGGGCUAGGAUUUAGAGAAACCAAGAUAAAAUUGGAGGAUUGGACCAAAAGAAAUUGAAUGAGUUUCAAUAAGGACAAGUGCAAAGUCCUGUACUUAGGACAUGACAAUCCCGUGCACUUCCACAGGCUGGGGACCAACUUGUUAAGCAACAGCUCUACAGAAAAGGACUUGGGGGUUACAGUGGACAGUAAGCUGAAUAUGAGACAGCAGUGUGUCCUUGUAGCCAAGAAUGCUAACAGCAUACUGGUCUACAUUAGUAAGAGGGUUGCCAGCAGCUUGAGGGAAGGGGUUCUUCCCCUCUAUUUGGCACUAUUGAGGCUACAUCUGGAAUAUUAUGUCUAAUUUUGGGUCCCCCACUACAGAAAGGAUGUGGACAAAUUGAAGAGAGUGCAGUGGAGGGCAACAAAAAUGGUGAGAGGGCUAGGGCAUAUGACUUAUGAGUAGAGGCUGAGAAACCUGGGCUUAUUUAGUCUGAGCCCAGACUGAGGAGACUGAGGGGAGAAUUUAAUAGCAGCCUUCAACUACCUGAUGGGUUGUUCCAAAGACAAUAGAGCUAGACUGUUUUCAGUAGCAGUAGAUAACAUAACAAAGUGCAAUGGUUUCAUGUUGUGGCAAGGGAACGUUCAACUAGAUAUUAGGAAAAACUCUCUUACUAGGGGCCUGCUAGAUGACACUUUAAAGUGGGUUAAAUGCCUUUUGCACCACUUUAAUGGCAUGCUGUUUGCACAUUCAGUGGCGUAAUGCGCCUUAAAUGACUUUGGGAUGCAGCAAAUAACUUUGGGGCACUGCAAAAUAAAACACCUCUGAGGAGUUUUGGUUUCCUACCCUACAGUCAUGGAGGGAAGCACUGGGCUCCGUGUGGCUCAGGGGCUGUGCAGGCAGCUCGUGUAGGCAGCCCGGGAAGUCAGGCUCCACAGAAAGGAGAAAAAAAAAAAAAAAGCAAUGAGCCUGAUCUUUUUUCCCCCCUCUCCCUGGAGCCUGCCUGCCUGAGCUGUGUGGGGACCCAGUGCUUCCCUCUGCAGCUGUGGUGCCCCCAGGACUGCCCGAGCCAGGUGCCACCUGGUAGGGGGCCACUGCUGCUGCAGAGGGGAAGCACCAGCCCCCCGACCCCCCCCCCCCUCCCCUCUUGCUCGGGGACCACUCUGCCUGCCAGCAGCUCACUCUCCCCUCCCCACUUCUGGAGGUGCAGGUGUACAUGGGCAGACAUGGGUGUACACGACAUAGGAGUUUACUUUGCCUUAAACUGAAGCAGUGCUUUUAAAAAAAAAACUACUUCAAUUUAGGGAGAAUUCAAUCCCUGUGUCAUGUACAAAUGCUCUAGGAGGGUAGCGGAGUACUGGAAUAGAUUACCCAGAGUGUGGUGGACUCUCUAUCUUUGGAGGUUUCUAAGACCUGGCUAGAUGCCUUUUCCUGGAUGAUCUAGUAGAGGAUGGUCCUGCUUUGAGCAGGGGGUUCGACUAGAUGAGCUCCUAAGGUCACUUCCAAACCUAAUGGUCUAUGAUUCUAUGAAAAACUACCUUAGAGCUGAUAUCAGUUUUCAAGAAAUAUAAUAUUCUCUUUCAUGCAACAUGUACCUUCCCCCUCCCCUCAUCCAGAAAAAAAAUCAGCCCCCCAAAAUUGGGGAGCCUGUAUUUAGUGAUUUUUCUCACCCAGCAAAAGCAGCUUGCUUUCACUCCUGCUUCACAAUGAAGCAACUGUUGCAUUAUUAUUCAGGCAGCUGAGGGAGUUAGUUGUCCAAAUGGCUCUUUUUCCAUCACUUUAGAGGUAUUAACAACAGUCUCUACUUUUUAAUAGUAUUGAUAUUCCACUAAUCAAGCUAACCAUUCUUAGGACAGUUUUACUGUCCACUAGAUGUUUGUUUGUUUUUUUUACUCUCUUUUCCUAUUUCACAGCCUUGGAGACUCUUUGACUCUUUUCAAAAUUAUAGAUCCAGCCAUGGAUCUGUCUUUAGCAACAGCUAAGAUUUCAGAUUUAAGGAUUAAUUAAAGGGUGAGAAAGCUAAAGAUUACACAGCCAUAAUCUUGGAUUUUUUUUUUUCAUUUUGCUUUUUAAAAACAAGGUGCCUACUAUAUUCUGGGAUAUGCUGUAUGUGACAAAAUACAGUAACAACUACAUAGUAAAAGUUACAGUGGCAGAAAUCCUUUCCCGACAGGGAUCUAGGGAGAUUAUAAUUAUCUUUCAUGAUCCCAUCUAUGAAAUUUCAAACUACAGUGUACUUUUUAAACUGACUUCAGGGAUUAAGUAGUUCCCCAACUCUUCUCUUAAUUCUACACUUAUAAUGGACCUGCUUCUGGUCUCAGAUACAUUACUUUAAAUCAGUGGUUAAAAGUAAAUGGAGCAACACAAGUAUUAAACUAGUGAGAAUAAGACCAGAAUCAAACUCACUAUAAAUGGAGGUCAAGAAUAACUUCAAGUUUUCUUUAGUCAGUUGAGGAGAAACUUACUGAAAUCAGUUUGGACCUAGAUUCUGCUAUCAAGAAAUGAUCUAGGAAUUAAGGCUAGUCAAAAGUUCUUUGUGUUUUAGUUAUCACAUACAACAUAAAGACCUGCUAUUGUGGUUCAGUGGUAGAAUCCUUUUCUGCCAUGCGGGAAAUCUGGGUUCAAUUCUUGGAUGUGUAUACAACUAUAGCCAUCGAGGCACUAAACAUCUGGACUCAGUCUGACCUUUGGAUUCUGCCAAAGGUGGGGAUGGAAGAUCUGGGAAGCUAUACUCCUGCCUAUGUGUACAUGUCAAAGGUCCUGGUGACCUCUCAAGUAUAUGCCAUAAUCCAGAGGGAUUGACGGUUGCCUACUACUACAAUAUAAAUGCUAUUUUAUAAUGUUAUUCAACAGAUGUAAUGCAAAGCAGAAUUUGACUUGAUUCUUCUUUAUACCUGUAUCUAAUACAAUUGCACUUAUGAAGCAGACAAAAAGAAAUCACCACAAUAUUUGAAUGCAAGUAUUUUGCAUUAGGUUGGUUUGAUUAAAUAAUUACACACGUAAAUGAACACUCCUACUCUAUACACAAACACAUUCAUGCAGAAACACAGAUGUGAAAAUGCAGUGGAAAGGGAAAAAUGCUGAAGAAGUUAGUAACUAUUGACAAAGUCUGGACAACUACCAUAUUGAGGAGUAAAGUCUUUUCAAUGUCAUAAGAGAAAUUAAAGACAUCUUGGAUGCAGAUACUGGUUCAUUUUUACCCAUCUUAAGAAAUAAAGAAUUUAAGAGGAUUUGAAAUGUUUAGAUGCGCAUUCUUACACUUUUGCUUUAACUCAGAAAUCCAAACAUUCUGUGAUAAUUACUAUUAAAAUGGGAGAAGAGAAUAAUGUACACUUUUAUUCUGAGGUUUGGCAGGGGCAACUAAGUGAAUACAGGGUGGUUUGUCUGAUUGAGGAAACUAGUAAAACUUAGAUAUUAGGCCUGUGAGGGUCAGCAGCAAUCUGAUCCAGCUUCAGAUCCAGCUGCUUCUGAUGGCUGCGAUCCAAUCUGGAGCUCCAGACCGGGUUUCCGCCUCAAUCCAGCUCCUCGGAGAUCUGGCCAUAGGGUAUAAUGGGGAAUCAAUGAAAUAUCUAUAACUUUGU